UACGGAGGGUGCAGGCGUUAAUCGGAAUUACUGGGCGUAAAGCGUGCGCAGGCGGUUUUUUAAGUCAGAUGUGAAAUCCCCGGGCUUAAACUGGGAAAUGGGUUUGAAACUGGGAGGCUAGAGUGCGGCAGACGGGGGUGGAAUUCCACGUGUAGCAGUGAAAUGCGUAGAUAUGUGGAGGAACACCGAUGGCGAAGGCAGCCCCCUGGGCCUGCACUGACGCUCAUGCACGAAAGCGUGGGGAGCAAACAGG
rnacentral:rRNA from 1 species